UACGUAGGGGGCAAGCGUUGUCCGGAAUCAUUGGGCGUAAAGAGCGUGUAGGCGGCUCGGUAAGUCCGCUCUGAAAGCCCGGGGCUCAACCCCGGGAGGCGGGCGGAUACUGUCGGGCUAGAGUCCGGAAGAGGCGAGUGGAAUUCCUGGUGUAGCGGUGAAAUGCGCAGAUAUCAGGAGGAACACCAGCGGCGAAGGCGGUGGUCUGGGCCAAUACUGACGCUGAGGAGCGAAAGCGUGGGGAGCGAACAGG
rnacentral:rRNA from 1 species